UGCAAUUUUGCCUCAAGAAUUAAAUAGUUGUACAAAAGUUGUCAAUAAUAUUGUACAGGAUCAUUAAUUUUUCAAAUAUUCAUCUGCACAUAUUCAAAACUGAGUACAAAAUUUAGCACAAACAAUGAUAGCUCAGGUUUCCUAUGUGUGCAAGACAGUUUCAAAAAUUCAAGAAAUAUCAUGGCAGAAGCUGCCGAUGAUUCAGAAGUUUACAAAGAACUGAUAAACAAGGCAAGAAAAGAGGUGGUGGGGGGGGGAGGAGCUAAAUUCCUUCCUCAUUCCUUGUAUGUAUGUGUCUGAGAUUUGUCAUCAUGUAUGUUUGUUUGAAGUUGCCUUGCUCUCUUCCAUACAAUAACAAUGCCAUAAAGAUCAGAUGAAGCCAACAAAUUCUCUCCAUGGUUCCAAGCAACGCCAAUAACUGGAAAACGAUGACCCUGUAGCUUGUUCACACACGUAUGCCUUGGCCGCGUUAAAUCAUAGAAGUAAACAUUGGAAUCAUCACUUCCAACAACUGUUCAUUAGGAGACAAAGUCAGUAAAGCAAUCGCAUUGCUCUCAAGUCAGCUAAAAAGUUAGAGAUUCCUUAGAAAAUGUCAAUUCCUUAUUUGAGACUACCUAUAUAUUCUCCUUUUUCAAGGGAAAGGAGUGGGCAGAAAGAAGCCCGAAUGCUGUGUAACCGAGGAGCCAAUUUGAGUGAGCAACGUAGGGUCAGAUAACCUUGAAUUUCCAAGGCCACACUGAAGAAAGAAAGAUUUCCAUCUUGAGUGCAUGUCAGCAACACAGGGCCUCCUGCCAACAGGGAGAAACUUCGGUACUGCACAGUCGUCACUGGAGAUUUACUCUUGCUAUUUCGAUGGCGGUGAGAACGUGACAGGGCACCUAUGUGUGAGUCCAUGCUUACGCAGUAUAUACAUCCCUGCGCAUCCCCACAGAAAAUGAGCUGACCAGUGUGAUCGUGGUCCAUAGAGGUAACCUUAGCAUCAAAUACUGAUUUAUGAAUAAUCCUGCCAGUGCUGAAAUUGAAUACCUGAAUAUCAGUAAAGAAGUUUAGAAAUGAAUGGUGUUAUGUGAAAAAUUAUAGGACAACCUAGAAUUGUCAGUUCUUUGUAUUCGAAAGACAAGCAAUAUCAAACAAUAAGAACCUAACUUAUUAUCAUUCCAACAUGAACACAGAAGCGCAAGAAGCUUUCACAAAUAAGUAAAUGACUUUACAAAUCGUUUAAAAAGCAAGGAAGAUCACUUUACUUCAUUUCAGAUCUUCAUACAAGGUAGAUGCAUUAUUACAUUCAACCGAUUGUAAGAACAAUUCUAAGUGAAUACAGAAAGUCAGUCAUGUCAAUACUAUGUGCAGGCAAAGGUAAGUGGUAAUUACAGUGAUUUCUUUGUUUUCAUUGCCAGCUGAAAGGAAGUUAUUAUUUACCUGCAUCAAAGGAGACAAAGGAGAAAUAAAACUUUUAGUGGUGAAGUACAUCACAAAGAAAGAAGAAAAUAUACAAGGACACAGAAAUUUUUCAGUAAUGAGCCCUAUUGAUACACUUCAUACACUGUAUACACACAAAACCAAAGAUAUUUAAAACCUCAUAAUGCAACAGAAAAACAUUGGAAAUGGAACUCGUUUAGAAGGACAAACAAUUUCAGAGAUGGGCUCGUGUAUAGAAGAAGUGACUCAAAAUAAAAAUCAAAUGCCACUUAAAAGUAAAAAGAAACAGAAAAAGUGUGAAAAUGAUAAGUAAAUUUCUGAAGGCAAACACUUCAAUGGUUCAAAGUAAAUGAAAAUGUCAAACUUCAUACUUACAGGAUGAAAACGAAUACAUAAUUGUGAAGAGACUCCAUAUAUUACUCGAAUGCAAAGGCCUUGUGACAACUCCCACACUCUAACAGUUUUAUCCAUGGAUGAGGAUGCAAUGUACUGAUUGUUGGAUGAGAAGUCAAAAUCUGUGACAUCUCUUGAAUGUCCCUUUAAUUGUUUGAGGACUGAAGGUUGCUCAGAGACAGUGCAUACUGUCAAGGUUCCGUCUGCUGCCCCAUAAGCAAGUAGAUCAGAACUCAUGUGCCCAAACUUCAAAACCGUAACAGCAGAUUUGCAUUGAUCAAAGAUACAAUGCAUUCCGACAAAAGAAUAUGCAGGUUCAACCCCUCGACGACGUGGAUGAUCCAUGUCACUUGUACUUGAGCUGAAACUUGAUCUAUGAGUUGAAGCCAGAUUGCCAGUUAGGUUCCUGCUAGAACUCCAGCUCUCCACCUCAAACAAAUGGGAUAGUGGACUUGGACAUUGAAGCCAUCGCCCACUAUUCCCUGGAGUGCUUUGGAAGCUUGGCAUUUGUUGAUUUUCCCAAUUUCUUGGCCUGCGUAUGUAAUUACGAUAGCUAACAUACCCUUUUCCAUUGCAUCUCCAAUCAAGUCGGCGAAGAUCACCAGACUCAGCUUUGCGAUAGAGAAGGAGGCGGCGAAUACCGAUAUAAUCAGGAUCAGAAUCAGCAGUCGCCGGCUGAAGCAAGCAGCUGAACAACUCUGGAUCCACAUCCUUCUUGAAGUUGUUAUGGUUGAUUUGAGUUUCCAUAGUUGAAGUGUUGAGGUUCUCCUGGAUUGCUUCCUC
rnacentral:misc_RNA from 1 species